UACGGAGGAUCCAAGCGUUAUCCGGAAUCAUUGGGUUUAAAGGGUCCGUAGGCGGUUUGGUAAGUCAGUGGUGAAAGCCCAUCGCUCAACGGUGGAACGGCCAUUGAUACUGCCAGACUUGAAUUAUUAGGAAGUAACUAGAAUAUGUAGUGUGGCGGUGAAAUGCUUAGAGAUUACAUGGAAUACCAAUUGCGAAGGCAGGUUACUACUAAUGGAUUGACGCUGAUGGACGAAAGCGUGGGUAGCGAACAGG
rnacentral:rRNA from 1 species